AGGAUUCCCCUAGUAACGGCGAGUGAAGCGGGAAGAGCUCAAAUUUGAAAUCUGGCGGUCUUCGGCCGUCCGAGUUGUAGUUUCGAGAAGCGUUUUCCGCGUCGGACCGUGUACAAGUCCCUUGGAACAGGGCGUCGUAGAGGGUGAGAAUCCCGUCUUUGACACGGACUGCCGGUGCUCUGUGAUGCGCUCUCAAAGAGUCGAGUUGUUUGGGAAUGCAGCUCAAAAUGGGUGGUAAAUUCCAUCUAAAGCUAAAUAUUGGCGAAAGACCGAUAGCGAACAAGUACCGUGAGGGAAAGAUGAAAAGCACUUUGGAAAGAGAGUUAAACAGUACGUGAAAUUGUUGAAAGGGAAACGCUUGAAGUCAGUCGCGUCUCUCGGGACUCAGCCUUGCUCUUCUGCUUGGUGCACUUCCCGAGGCGACGGGCCAGCAUCGAUUUCGACCGUCGGAGAAAGGCUUUGGGAACGUGGCACCUCCGGGUGUGUUAUAGCCCAUGGUCGUAUGCGACGGCUGGGAUCGAGGUUCGCAGCACGCCUUCAUUGGCCGGGGUUCGCCCACGUAACGUGCUUAGGAUGCUGGCGUAAUGGCUUUAAACGACCCGUCUUGAAACACGGACCAAGGAGUCUAACAUGCCUGCGAGUGUUUGGGUGGAAAACCCGGACGCGUAAUGAAAGUGAAAGGUUGGGACCUCUGUCGUGGAGGGCACCGACGCCCGGACCAGACCUUCUGUGACGGUUCCGAGGUAGAGCAUGUAUGUUGGGACCCGAAAGAUGGUGAACUAUGCCUGAGUAGGGUGAAGCCAGAGGAAACUCUGGUGGAGGCUCGUAGCGAUUCUGACGUGCAAAUCGAUCGUCGAACUUGGGUAUAGGGGCGAAAGACUAAUCGA
rnacentral:rRNA from 1 species